rnacentral:lncRNA from 1 species
GUGCGCACCAUUGACACGUGACGAAAAAUGGAGUCCAGGAGAGAAAUCACGAGCCAAGAUUUUCGUGGCGGUAAUUGACGUGGGCGGUUUAAGAUAUCGAGUAAUCUUCUUGAAGAUACAUGACAGGAAAUUUGUUUGAGCUUAAAAGUCGUUAGCCGACCAUUACAUUCGAAUGCUUUCAAGAGUGGCCGGCGGAUAGAUGAGGUAGGAGGCAGAGAGGCAGGAGUCGCGAGAAACCAUCCAAGCAGCGUCACUGUAAUCCGAGCCACGAGCGGAAUUUCAAUCUCCCGGCAAAUGGAACACCGUGGUCCCAUGGCGUAAAGGUCGCCAACCGCGCGUGCACGCCAUCCAGGACGGACGGCCUGAUGAUGGUCCGGGUCGGUCGUUACCCAGGCUAAGUGGAUCGCCGUUACGGUGAUCAGGACAAAACAGUCAUUAUCGAGGUGAAUAACGACCACUUUGCAAAACGACGAACAAUGCUUUUUGUACUGUGACACGUCUCGUAUUUACGCACUUACAAUACGUUGUUUCACGAUUCCUCAAUGGUUUUUUUUUUUUACAAUUUCACGUGCUGUAUACAAUGAUGCAAGUAUAGAAAAAUACUGUGCAAUAUAAAGAAGAUUUAUCGUACGUACAUUGUAAUAGUUUCUUUUUUCUUAUAAUAGACUCAUUCUUGCCUUUCAGACAAAAAACACAAUAUGAGUUAUUUCAAUUCUGUCUGUUGCAAAUUACAGUCACUUAGUUAAUGACCAAUUAAAUAUACAUAUGUUUAUACCUCAAUCAAUAUAUGUAAUAUGUCAUUUAAAUAACUUUCAAUUACCUGUAAUAAAAAUUGCUGUAAAAGAUUUAAAACAAAGUUAAAAAUCAAUCUUCGCGAACGUUCCUCCUAAGAACAAUCUUUUUUCCCUCUUCGCAAGCAAUAAUUUCCAUCUACCUGCCAAACAACUUAUCCGAUCAAUAACUUGAAUUGAAAUAAAUCCAAAGAGACAAGCGGCGAUACAAAAUUGACACAUAUUAGAUCGUAAAACCUUAUCCUGGUCGGCCUGUUACGACCAAUCACGAUAACAUUUCGCGAAUGAAAAGAUCACUUACAGGUUGGAAAAUCCUUCGACCCCGUUCUCACGAUACUGGUUGGACGGUAGCCAAGGAAUUCUUAAUAAUAAUCCAGGUAUUUUCCAAGUUGGACAUAAGAUACUCUCGGAUACUGGUCGAUCCGGUCACUGGCCUUGCUACAUUUUUCAAAAUUAAUUAAAAAUAUUUUUCCUAUUUACGAAAACUGGUUCCGGCUGAAACGAGAUUUCACGAGAAGUCGCUAAGAGAUAAGAACGGCUAGGCGAAAUGAUUGGCUGUAACGUGAGAGUGACACCUUCAUUUUCAUCUUUGAUCUGAAGCUGAUAAUGAAGAAAUGAGAUGCAUUGAAAUAAAGUAGGGUAAUAAAGAUGAUAAUUUGGAAGAUUUUCGCAUAGAUAGAGGAGAGAUUUCUGUAAUAAAGAUUUCUCAUAUCCUCGAAUAUGAUGCUCUCAUUAUUAUAAUCAGGGUUUAUUAUGUAAUUCUAAAUUCUAAAUUCUAAUAAUCUGUCUACAAUAAAUUCUAAUAUCAAUUUCAAAUUAUUCAAAUUCUAGAUGAAAAACUAUGGAAUAAAAUUUUUCAAAUUUCUUCCAGACUUAUAAAAUUUCCUCUCCUCUUUUACAACAACCAUGACUGAUUUUGAAUUUUUUUAGGAUCCUUGGCCAACUGUUUAAAACUAAAAUCAAGAACCUUCUUAAGAACUUACUGCAUAUUAAUUAUAAAGUCAAAAGAGAAUAAGAUGAGCCACCUUUGCCAAGUCCUUAGAACCAAGAAGAACCAAGAAACAUUUUUAAGACUUAUUGCAUUAUCUUUGUAUUGUAAGGGCAAAGAAGAAUUAAAUGGAAUUAGCCUUGCCUCCAUGCCGAAAAAUAGAUGGUUAGCCAAUAUCUCAUCUGUUGGUACAAUACUUGGCCAGAAGGCAGCACGUUUCUCUCAUUAUGCCUCAACCGUCUCGAAAUCCUAACUGUACAAUGCACUCACCCCGCCCAAGGGGCCAGCAUCCUCGACACGCUCCCGUGUGGACGUGGAACGCAGGAACGUGGUCGAUUAUUUCGCGGAGAGAGAGGGAGCGAGAAGGUCGCAGACACACACCGAGUUAAGGGCCUCUUCUCUCGAAUCGGUCAUCUUGAUUUACGACGUCGGAAGCGGCCGUAGAUACUUCACGCACUCGCACACUUACCACACACGCACACACUUGCCGUGAAUCGAUCUGUCUACCUAGCCGUAGACGCAGUUGGAAAAAUCGAGGCGGUUCUACACGUGGCCUUGAGACGCCUCGCUUUUUGAUAUUUGUAUCAGAGGCGAGAUGUGAGAGUGUGCGACGAGAGUUGGUAUGAGGGAGGGGAUUUAAUGGGAUUUAAGGGUUAAUGAUGGUCGUGAUUGGAUGGAAGAGGUUGAAGUGGAGUGGCAGACGGUUAUUUAUAUUUGGAUUCUAUUUUGAGAUGCAUACGUAUAUGUAUAAAAAAGUGUGAUAUAUAUUAUGGUAAUGGUUGGAGAUUAAUCGUAAUUUUUCAUUAUGAUGUUUACCAGUCAUAUCAUGUUUAGUUUAGUAAAAGGAAUUUUCAAUUUUUCAAUCAUAUUUUCCAAAAAUAUAUAUGAAAGAAUUAGAGAAUUUAUUUUUGUUAUUUAAUCAAUUUUUCAAAAAAAUUCUUUUCCAAUAUCAAGUCAAAAUUCACAUUAUAAGAAUUUUUAAAUGAUAGAUUAACUAAAAAUACUAAUACUAGAACAGAAGCAAUAAAAUUAAAUGUACCUAGAAAUUAUAAAAUAACAGUUUACUCUAAUUAUAACUAACAAAAGAUAAUAAAUUCUAAAGUUGAUCAAUAAAAGUCAAUCUCAUAACGAAGACCAUAAACUUUAUCGAAUUUCAACACAAAACUAUUAACUUGAUUAACCUUUAAACUCAAUUCUUGUAAAAGGAUCUAACCUAAAAAAGAAGGAGGGAAAAAAAAAAAA